rnacentral:rRNA from 1 species
GGAUUAGAUACCCUGGUAGUCCACGCCGUAAACGAUGAGUGCUAAGUGUUAGAGGGGUCACACCCUUUAGUGCUGCAGCUAACGCGAUAAGCACUCCGCCUGGGGAGUACGGCCGCAAGGCUGAAACUCAAAGGAAUUGACGGGGGCCCGCACAAGCGGUGGAGCAUGUGGUUUAAUUCGAAGCAACGCGAAGAACCUUACCAGGUCUUGACAUCCCCUGACAACCCAAGAGAUUGGGCGUUCCCCCUUCGGGGGGACAGGGUGACAGGUGGUGCAUGGUUGUCGUCAGCUCGUGCCG